CGUCUCUCGGCGCUCUCGUCGGUCUCAUUGCUGCACUUGGUUAGGGUUUACGCGCACGUUUGAGUCGAAAAGAAAUCUAUCGUUACAAUGUUCAGCCCACAAGAGCUUACUGGUGAAGAAACGGGACAAGACCCAUCUUUCGGCAAAGCCAACGUUACAGUAAUGCUCCAGCAUCUCACAGUCUAUCCUGAGGAAUUCAGAUGCCUCCCAGGGUGAAUACAGGUAGUCCUGCUGAUAGUCUGCUUCUAUCUUACAGAGCAGUUUGUUGCUAUUUACCAUUGAAAAGCCUUCGAAGCAGAGAGGUGCUGUUACCAAUAACCUGCUUUUGGGCCGAAAGGGCCUGCACCUUCUCUCUACAGCCCAAGGGGAAUUUCAGGAAAACUAGAUGUUUCUGCUCACUUCCAAACUGAAGUUAUAGGUCCAAGUAAAGAACAAGGUAUAUAUAAGUGGAAUCUCUCUUGAACACUAGAAGGUGAAUUUUCCAAGUCCUUGGACAACUUGGCUGUUGAAGUUUACAUACUGUCAUUUUAGUCUUCCGCUCAUGUUUUAAGCCUUACUGUAAAUCAUGCUUUUGGGUGGCUCUACCUGGGCACAAGGAAGUCAGCCCUGAAAGUUGGCUGUUUUAACUGGGUUUUACCCAGCUUCAUUAGGCAAUCUGCCUAAUACUGGAUUUCCUAACCCAAGGCAGCAUUCAAGGAGCUUAAUUUAUCAGCGUACUUAAGGGACUUAUUCCCUAGAUGUACACCACUGAAGCAAUCUUGAAUGAAAAGCUUGUGGGGUUUGGGUGUCAUGGCCGCACCAUAAUGUGAACAAGUUGCUUUCAGUUGCUGUCGAUUUCAAUUUCUGUUACUCUAUUGGUUGUUGGUGAAAAUAAUAAAAUACUUAGUCCUGAG